GAACACAUUCCACUAGCAGCUUCAAUACUUUGCAUACCGCCAAGCCUGCCUGCCAGGUGAGGCCUCUUUGUCAGGUUUGGAAUCAGGCUGUAGAGAUGGAGGUGAGAAGCUGGAAUUAGGCCUCCAAGAAUACUAGGCAGGAGAAAGGAGUAACCUCAAGAAAUUCCCGGGGCAUUGUCAAGGCAGCACAACGCCAAGUGCACAUACAUUUAUUUACUCGUGACUUCGUAUGUGCAUAGUUAGGAUGCUGGUAUAAAUGUAGAUAUGAGGUUUCCACUGCCAUCUCACUCCAGAACUAGGCUGGAAUGCCAGAAUCACUUUGCCCUUUCCAGCACCACUCUCAUAUAAGUUAGUAUAUGUCUACAAUGUGAAUAGUACCAUCUUAGAUGUGGUUCCCUUGUGCAGUGCACAACCUGAACAUCAGUACUGGAAGCCCUGACUCUGCCAAUACCCAGUGCCUGAAAUCUUCUUCCUGGAGCCAGCCCUAUUACAGACAUGAGUUUGCUCUCUCUCUUGCUUAUUAAUUUUUACAAGCAGUUAAGCAGAGCUUUUCUUCCUGCCAAAUCACCAAAUUCGAGAACUAGAAAGGGUCUUUGGUAUUUCCUAGUAUGAACCCUUCCUGUUUAAAGAAAUUAAAGCCUAAAGAGAUUUGCCCCAAGGUCAAAAGGCUAGAUAGUAACAGAGCCAAGGUCUUCCAUCUCCCACUUUUGUUGCUCUUUCCUCCCAUGGGCUUUCUUUGCUUUGGGGGAUUUUUAUAUGCUUAAGAUUUAAAUAAUUCUCACAAUGUUUGUUUAUAAGCAAAAUUUUAUUAAGUCUGUUUGUGUCCUACUUUAUGAAUAAUGAGGAAAAAGGAGGAUAUGGGCAGGUUUUAUCUUUACCACACAUGCACUAUUUGUUGUUUUUUCUUUUAAGAGAAAGGAUAAUAAAAUACUUCACUCAUCAUUCACUUUUUAAUUAAGAGGAAGAAACAUCAAACUCUAGCCACUAAGGUUUUUAGAAGUAAAUUAAAGUCCAUCAGUUUUGCACCAAGGCCAUGUUGUAUUAACUAAGAGUCGAGAGAAUUAGGUUCUAGACCGGGCUUUGCCUUAAAUUCAAGGGUGGCCUUGGAGUAGCCAUUUCAUCGGCCUGAGCCUCAGUUUCCUCACUGAUAGAGCUGGACAACUUAGAUGAUUUCUAAGGUCCUUCUCUGCGUUGAUGAUCUGAUUCUGUGAUGAGAGAGAGAGAAGAGGGUUGAUAGAAAGGAGAAGGAUGGAGAAAAAACUAUGUGGGCUGUUUCUAUAGAGAAAGAGGCUCUGGGAAAGAGAGGUGCAUGGGGAAGGUGUGUGGUGGAGAGCCAAAAACGAGACAAAGAGAAAAACAUGGGGAGAGAUGGAGAGGCAGAAGGAGUCAGAGAAUGAAGAGGGAGGAUAGUAAGUUCGAUAGGUUCUCUGUGAGUGUGUCAGGGUUGCACCACUGCUCACCUCACCCCUCUCCCCUAGACACUGGCUAUUAGAGCAGACCCUGACAUGUUCCCAUGGCAUCUGCCAUUCAUAGGGGUUUCUCCCCAACAGUAUGCUCAUCUGGCUUGCUUUUUACAAAUCACAGAGCAUCUCUGAGAUAAGGGCUGACUUUCCUGUACAAUUCCAGGGGCUGUGCAUCUGUGUGUACAGUCAAAGUGUGAAUUUGCGUCAGAGCAUGACAGUGUAAUUGCAGGUCCUAGAGAAUCUUGUCCUGUGUUAUUGGGUGUCUGCUAUUCCAAGCACAUUGUCUGGAACUUCUAGAUCUUCCAAUAAAAAUUCUUACAAAAACUCCAUCUAUUGUAAACAAAAAGUAGAUAAUGGGAGUUCCCUUUGUGGCUCAGCGGUUAACGAACCCGACUAGGAUCCAUGAGGAUGCAGGUUUGACCCCUGGCCUUGCUCAGUGGGUUAAGGAUCCAGCAUUGCCGUGAGCUGUGGUGUAGGUUGCAGAUGCGGCUGGGAUCUGGCAUUGCUGUGGCUCUGGUGUAGGCCAGCGGCUGUAGCUCGGAUUCAACCCCUAGCCUGGGAACCUCCAUAUGCCUCCGGUGCAGCCCUAAAACAAUAAAAAUAAAAAUAAUGAGUAUUCUUUAAAACACUCCUACUAAAGGGUGUUUCAGAAGGUACACUGGACCGCUCGUGUUUGGUCUGUUGAUUCAAUUAACUUCCACUCUCUCCCAGCAUCUUCUUCAGCUCUAGCUAGGCAAUUUUCCAGCUUCAGCUGUCUUCCUUUGCACCGUAAUCUUGACCUCAUGGUGUUGUAUUGCUCUCGCUAACACCCUCCUUUUGUGCAGAUAAAGUCCAUCUUUGGCCUGCACAGUUCAAAAAUACUCAUAAUCUGGUGACCAGUGGUCAUUAUGGAAACUAACUCAACUGUCUGCCCCUUUCCAAAAUAAGGAAAUAUCCGAUAGAUUCUCUAAGGCCAAUUACAUACAGAUGGUUAUUUUGUACCUGCUUAUUUCUAGACUAUAACCUUCCAGUUCCACCAAAUAAAACAUAUCAUAAUUCAACACAUAAAUUCUUCCACAGAAUCAGAACAUCACUUGUGCCUUAGAAGAGGCCUUAGAGUUCCCUUAGUCUAAUAAUUCUCAACCCGGGCUACACAUAUAGGGGAACUUAAAGAAACAAAACAAUGCCUGGGCCCACCCCAUACCAAUUGAAUCAGUUACUAGGGGUAGGAGCCUGUGCAUAGGUAUCUUUUUAAGUUUCCCACAGAGAUUCUAAUGAGCAGCCAAGAUUAAAAUUUAGUUCAGGGAGUUCCUGUUGUGGCUUAGUGGUUAAUGAAUCCUAGGAACCAUGAGGUUAAGGGUUCGAUCCCUGGCCUCGCUCAGUGGGUUAAGGAUCCGGCAUUGCCUUGAGCUGUGGUGUAGGUCACAGAUGGGGCUCGGAUCCCAAGUUGCUGCGGCUGUGGUGUAGGCUGGCAGGUGCAGCUCUGAUUAGACCCCUAGCCUGGGAACCUCUAUAUGCCAUGGGUGCGGCCCUAGAAGAGGCAAAAGGACAAAAAAAAAAAAAAAAUUAGUUCAACCCUCAAUUUACAGAUGAAAAACCAAGAGACUUCUUUAGGUAUCAAGACUCACUUCAGAAUCUUAUAGAGGUGUCAAUACAUUUAUAAAGCCAUCAGCCCCAUUCCAUUUGCCAUUCCAAAGCUAUGAGAUUAUCUUAUCUUUGGUGUUUGAGAGAAUAGAACUGUCAGUUCCCCAAUACCUCGUUUACACUUGAAACAAAUCUCCUCUUUGACUAAAUUAAGUUCAAGGCAAGAUGCAGAGGUUUCCUGCUACAAAUUUAAGUCAAAGCACUUCAGGUACACUAAGCAAAUAUAUACCGUGCUAAUCUUGGUGGUUUAAGUAGCUGUCAAAUAUUUAUCCAAUGGAGGAGAGCAUUCACUUGAAAAAUCCAAUGGUGGACAACUAAAAACUCAUUCUGGCCUGUUUGGGACUUUCUUUGCAGUUACUGUUGAAAUUGAGAGUAUUCGCUGCUUUGGGGAGUAUCUUCAAACAAAACAAGGAAACCACACUGGGAAGGCCUCACUUUAGAGGGACAAAAAGGCAGUCUAGUUUCCCUUUUACCCCCUGCUUAACUCUUUCCUGCUGAGACGAGACAGGUCAUCUCUUCAACUGAUGCAAGAUUUGUUCUGGUUGCCAAAUUCCAGUAUCUGAGAACAAGAGGUUGGGGGUGGCCUCUUAAAGCUUGAAAGACAGAAAUUUAAGUGAAAUAAAAAGGAUUUUUGUUUUACACAGCAGAAGGCAACUUGUUACUCCAUGAGGCAGUACAGGCUGAGAAAAGGAAAUAAAUGAAUUAAUUUUUAAAAGAGUUCAAUACUAUCAGAGCAUAACAGGUAUAGGAAGAGCAACCAGAAUUUGAAGGAAAGCGUUUGCCCCCAAACAUGUCUUACUCUAUAUAAACAUGUCUCUAGACAUUCCAUCAAACCGUUCACCCAGGAAGUCAGUUCUUGUAUUAUUAUUAUUAUACCUAAAUCCGCUGGAAUGGGUGACAUGGUUAAGGGUUUGGGUCUCAUGGACUUUUUUCCCACGUUCAUAGUAAAUACAUGCUAUUAAAAGGGGCAAUGAAGUUGUGAGUAGAUUAGUUGCUGAGGAAAAUCAUUAUCAAAAAUGUCACCCAAACAGGUCCCUAAGUGGCUAAUGGACAAAAAACUUAUCAAAAGGAAAGACUUACCAAAAUUCUCACUAUUUCUACCCAGAGACUAAGUCCUAAAUCUCUGCCUCAUUUUAAAAGCCAAGAAGGCAGCAAAUUAGAUAGCUGUUGGAUAUCCUACCUCAUAAAUCGCUAUGUUGGAGUUUUUGUAGGUAACCAGAGUAAGACUCCCUGAAGAAAAGGAGAGCCUUGGGGACCUUCCACUUUGGACUUCUGAGGUGAUCUGGACGCUUACACUGGCACGACUUCCUCUCUGUGAAAGGAUUAGGAAAGAAUGUUUAUGAACAAAAUUAUCAUGAUUAAAGACAGAGCACUGAGCUAUUCUGUAGAUACUGGCUUAUCUGGUUUUUUUUGUUUGUUUGUUUGUUUUGUUUGUUUUUUAUUCCUAAGAGAGUAAUGCUGAUUUGAGCUCUAUAAACAUGAAGUUGAUUAAUUUUGGGUUUUUUUUGUUGUUUUUUUUUUUUUUUUUGCUUUUUAGGGCUGCGUGUGCGACAUAUGGAGGUUUCCAGCUAGGGGCUGAAUCAGAGCUGCAGCUGCCGGCGUACACCACAGCCACAGCAACGUGGGAUCUGAGCCGUGUCUGCAACCUACACCUCAGCUCACAGCAAUGCCAGUUCCUUAACCCACUGAGCGAGGCCAGGAAUUGAACCUGCAUCCUCGUGGAUACUAGUUGGGUUUGUUUUUGUUGUGCCACAGUGGGAACUCCCUAUUCCCUGCAUUUUUUUUUAUGCUAGGAUUGGUUCUGUGCUUCACUUCCAUAUGCCACAAAAGAAAGGUAAAUGUUUAAAGAAACUUCCAUCUCCUGAAGAAAAUUAGAGUCAUGGAUUUGAGGGGGCAAGAAAGAACACCAUCAUGAUUUAAUCUGAGACUCUCAUUUUAUAGACAAAAUUAAGAAAAAGAUGAAAAAAUAACAUUUGAGGAGUUCCUCUCGUGGCUCAGAGGAAAUGAAUCUGACUAGCAUCCACGAGGAUGCAGGUUUGAGCCCUGGCCUCACUCAGUGGAUUAAGGAUCCAGCAUUGCCAUGAGCUGUGGUAUAGGUCACAGACAUGGCUCAGAUCUGGCAUUGCUGUGGCUGUGGUGUAGUCCAGUGGCUACAGCUCCAAUUCCAUGCCAGCAUGGGAACCUCCAUAUGCCACGGGUGUGGCCCUAAAAAGACAAAAAAAAAAAAAA
rnacentral:lncRNA from 1 species